rnacentral:rRNA from 1 species
GGAAUAUUGGUCAAUGGGCGAGAGCCUGAACCAGCCAUGCCGCGUGCAGGAAGACGGCCUUCUGGGUUGUAAACUGCUUUUACCAGGGAAGAAAACGCUCCUGCGGGAGUAACUGACGGUACCUGGUGACUAAGCACCGGCUAACUCCGUGCCAGCAGCCGCGGUAAUACGGAGGGUGCAAGCGUUGUCCGGAUUUAUUGGGUUUAAAGGGUGCGUAGGCGGCCCGUUAAGUCAGCGGUGAAAUCCCACGGCUCAACCGUGGAACUGCCGUUGAUACUGGCGGGCUUGAGUUCGGUCGAAGCGGGCGGAACUGGUGGUGUAGCGGUGAAAUGCAUAGAUACCACCAAGAACCCCGAUUGCGUAGGCAGCUCGCUGGGCCGAAACUGACGCUGAGGCACGAAAGCGUGGGGAGCG